rnacentral:rRNA from 2 species
CUGGUUGAUCCUGCCAGUAGUCAUAUGCUUGUCUCAAAGAUUAAGCCAUGCAUGUCUAAGUAUAAAUAGUAUACAGUGAAACUGCGAAUGGCUCAUUAAAACAGUUAUAGUUUAUUUGAUAAUGGAACUUUACAUGGAUAACCGUGGUAAUUCUAGAGCUAAUACAUGCUAUAUGCCCGGCUUCUGGCAGGGCUGUAUUUAUUAGAUACUAAACCAGUGUCGCAAGACAUUGUGGUGAAUCACAGUAACUGAUCGAAUCGGCGCGCAAGCGGCGAUAAAUCAUUCAAGUUUCUGCCCUAUCAGCUUUCGAUGGUAGUGUAUUGGACUACCAUGGCAGUCACGGGUAACGGAGAAUUAGGGUUCGGUUCCGGAGAGGGAGCCUGAGAAACGGCUACCACAUCUAAGGAAGGCAGCAGGCGCGUAAAUUACCCAAUCCUGAUUCAGGGAGGUAGUGACAAGAAAUAACAACCUGGGGGCUUCAAGCCUUGCGGGAUUGCAAUGAGAACAAUACAGAUCACUUAGCGAGAAACAAUUGGAGGGCAAGUCUGGU